rnacentral:rRNA from 1 species
UACGUAGGGCGCAAGCGUUGUCCGGAAUUAUUGGGCGUAAAGAGCUCGUAGGCGGUUUGUCGCGUCUGCUGUGAAAACUCGAGGCUCAACCUCGGGCUUGCAGCGGGUACGGGCAGACUAGAGUGCGGUAGGGGUGACUGGAAUUCCUGGUGUAGCGGUGGAAUGCGCAGAUAUCAGGAGGAACACCGAUGGCGAAGGCAGGUCACUGGGCCGCAACUGACGCUGAGGAGCGAAAGCAUGGGGAGCGAACAGG